UACGGGGGGGGCAAGCGUUGUUCGGAAUUACUGGGCGUAAAGGGCUCGUAGGCGGCCAACUAAGUCAGACGUGAAAUCCCUCGGCUUAACCGGGGAACUGCGUCUGAUACUGGAUGGCUUGAGAUUGGGAGAGGGAUGCGGAAUUCCAGGUGUAGCGGUGAAAUGCGUAGAUAUCGAGAGGAACACCUGCGGCGAAGGCGGGUAGCUGGGCCGACACUGACGCUGAGGCGCGAAAGCCAGGGGAGCGAACGGG
rnacentral:rRNA from 1 species